CAAGAUCAACUGUGGCCGUCUCCGCAGUGCUCCUUUAUAAAAGUCUAUACCAGACCUAAUCAUUCGCGAUACCUUAGUGCCAGAAAUGGAUGUGACGCCUAACGAUCUCAAAGGUAAAAGGAAAUAGCAAUUUGAAAAAUUCAAAUGUGUCGGAAUCGUCGAAUCUGCUAGUGCAGUGAAUGUGUGGAGAUCUUUAUUAGUUUAGUGCAUAAAGUGGAAAAGAAAUAUUUCAAAUAUGACGGAAUUUUUCGGUGCCUGGAGCGGCAACAACGACGAUGUCGAAGAGAUCGAGGAAUCAGUGGAAACUGUCGAAACAUUUACGACAACCACAUCGAAGACGAGGAGAAAAGCGACUAUUCCAGAAACGUCGUCAACGACGAAGACGACAACAAUGACGACACCGGCCAAAUUGUAUGGACGCGAGUUGUCCACAUACGAUGAGGUUGACGUCGACGAACUUCUAGCUAAAUUGUCACAGGAAGAGCUUACUAUGCUUGCCAAGGAGGUUGACCCAGACGACAACUUUCUCCCUCCCUCGCAACGAAAUAACUACGCGUGCGAGAAGGACCCAACGGGUCCUCUCAAUCGGAAGAAAUUAAUUGAACACAUAAACAAACAAGCAUUAGAGACACCAGAUCGACCUGAAGUAAAACCAUUUGUGCCAGGGGUUAUACGUGGUAAAAAGUGGAUCCCGCCGCCACCGCCGGAGAAAGUUCGAGACGCGGAAGAACAAAUUACCAUCGACCUCGGCGACGAAUACGAACAAGCGCUCGGCACCGCCUCCCAGGAGGAAAUCAUCGAUCUCGCUGCUAUUCUCGGCUUCCACUCCAUGAUGAAUCAGGACCAAUACCACGCGUCGCUGUUGAACAAAGGUCAGCCUGUCGGCCUCGGUUGGGAUGGAAUCACCAAAGCUACAAAACAAAAGGUAUAUCCUAUGGAUCCUCCUAACGACGUAGAUCCAGAUAAAAGUAUCGACAGAGUGAAAGAAAACGACCAGACGUUCCUUGAUCUCAAUUGGAAUAACAUUAAGAACAUAAGCGACGAGAAGUUCGAGAAGCUGUUCGAGGCGCUGAAGACGAACACGCACCUGGAGGUGGUGUCGCUGGUCAACGUGGGGCUCAACGACCGCACGGCGGCGCUGCUGGCCGACGCGCUGCAGGCCAACACGUCGCUGCGCGUCGUCAACGUCGAGACCAACUUCAUCAGCCCCGCCGGCGUCGUGCAGCUCGUGCGCGCGCUGCUCGCCACCACCUGCGUCGAGGAGUUCCGCGCCUCCAACCAGCGGUCGCAAGUGCUGGGCAACAAGACGGAGAUGGAGAUCACGCGGCUGGUGGAGCAGAACCCCACGCUGCUGCGGCUCGGCCUGCACCUCGAGUACAGCGACGCGCGCCACCGGGUCGCCUCGCACCUGCAGCGCAACAUCGACAGAAAUUGCCGUUUGCAAAAGCGAGCGAGCGUGUCUCUAAGCUUGCGCCUGCCGCGCGGGCGGCCGCCGGCGGUGGGCGUGGACAGUAGCCUCCUCGACUUCAGCCUCACGCCGCCCAGCGCCGACACGCUGACGCCCACGAGCGACAGGAGAGUCCUCGACAAGCCGAUUGUCGGGACGGAUUCGUUAUCCGAUGACAAAUCGCUCGCGGGAGCCCAGAAAGGAAAUUUCGUCAUGGCGGAGCCGCCAGAUAUUAACCCAGAGCCCCACUCUACGGAAAGACCUAACGCUGCGACUUCAGUUCAGAUUCUUUAACAACCUGCAAAAAGGGGCGCGUAGCCAAUAGAAUUUAUAAAGUACGCCAACAACGCCGGAGCCAGAGUGGCGCUUAGAGUUGUAAACGACACAUGUGGUGGGCGAAUCCGGCGCUUGAGCCAGUUCACACGCAGCCGCAGUUACGUGGUGGGCUGGAUUCCUUGACCACACGCGCUCGCACUGUCACGCUCUUUGUCACUGUGUAGCACGCCCCUUAUUGAAGCCUUUUAUAAAUAUAUCUUGUGUUAUUCCUAAACGAAUAAAAAUGUUUUUAAUUGAAGAUGUAUUCUAUUUUUAAAUGUUGGGCUUGAAUAGUGUUCGAUAUACGCCUGAAAAGGGUCUCUCCACAGUUCAUCGGGCUGUACUGAUUUUUUAAUGAUAAGGCAGUUUUAUUACAAUCGUAUAAGAGUCGAAUUCUUCAAACGACAGUUGACUUCUAUCAGAAAAAUUUAAUUGAAGUUUUGAUAAAAUGUCUAUACAAAAUCGUGUAAUUAUCAUUCGUAUUCUUCUGUUAACUGACGAUUCAAAAAAAUCGAUUCUUAAUCGAAUAAUUUAGUUUAAAAUUAAAAAAAAAUGUACUAAGAACUUCGUGGUGUUUGAUAUUAUUCGAUAUGUUGUUGGCGUUGAAUAUGGACUAUGAUUUGACUUUAUUUGAUGGCCCGGUGAUAGAUGAUAGAUGAUCAAAAUAUAUUAACUUAAUUGGUGCUUGCAACUUUAUAAAAAUGACAAAUAAAAUCAAUUUAAAUAUUUGACUUUAUAUUAUAAAAUUCUUGCCUCUAUUAAAAAUAAAUUUUGUCUUUAUUGUAUUUAAAAAAAAAAACGACUACACAAUUACAAAGAUAUGUUUUGACAGAUAAUUAAGUGUGCUUGAUAGAAGAGUAUUGUGCGCGAACAAUAUUUUUGAUUUUAUUUAAUAAUAAGAUCUAUAAUAGACAAGUCGAUGGCAGGACCAAUCACUAGUUGGAAACUUAAAAUGUUUUAAUUAAGAAUACAGUAAAUAAAAUCAUGAAUAUUGUCUAUGUUUGAUUGAUUCGUACGUUUACAAUAUUAAUUCUAAUUUUAGUGUGCUAAUGAAAUCGUAUUAAUUUUUAUCAUUUAAUUGUAAUAUAUGUUAUAGACGUGCACAUUCCAUUGAUACAUAACAGACUUCUCUACUAAACAUUUUAUUAUAGAUUAAGAAGAAACAUGAUCAAUGUAUUAUUCUACGGUUCAUUAUAUGAAAUAAUAACGAUUAUAAGAUUAAUUGUUCACUAAAAACUGCCAUUUAUAAUUAAUAAGAGAAGUCAUGUUCUGUGUCAAUGGAUUUUAAGUUUAACAUUUUCAAAAAAGCACUAGGUUUUUUAAUCUGUUAUACGCUGUUUUAUCUGUGGUCAAGUUCGCUUUCGAUCGGAGGCUUGCAACAUUUAUCGACUGUAACCUCUUGCUUUCUUGAAAUAAAAUAUUUGCUUAUCUUUUAAAUUGUAACUUAUUCAUAGAGUCUACUGCGGAACUUAAUUGUCCAUAACAUUGUGAUAUAAACAUCAUGUGUUUCCAUUAAAAAAAUAUUGCUUUGUUUUUUCAUUCUAGUUUCAACUUAAGAGAGAUUAUUUGUAAAUGAAUUUUAGAUUUUUAAUGUAUUUUUUUUUUGUUGUACCAAGCUAUGAAAUUUAAAAUUAUAAUAAAUGAUUAAUUUUAAUUUUUAAUUAUAGAUUUUAUUUAUGUCGACAUGAUAAUGUAUGGAGCAUUUUGGUCCAACGAAAACUUGGCUAUUAGAGUCGCAGUUGUGUAGUUUUGUGACAAAAUAUAAAUAAAGCGAUUAAACAUA